CAGUCGCCGCGGUAAUACGGAGGGAGCUAGCGUUGUCCGGAAUUAUUGGGCGUAAAGGGCUCGCAGGCGGUUUCUUAAGUCUGAUGUGAAAGCCCCCGGCUCAACCGGGGAGGGUCAUUGGAAACUGGGAAACUUGAGUGCAGAAGAGGAGAGUGGAAUUCCACGUGUAGCGGUGAAAUGCGUAGAGAUGUGGAGGAACACCAGUGGCGAAGGCGACUCUCUGGUCUGUAACUGACGCUGAGGAGCGAAAGCGUGGGGAGCGAACAGGAUUAGAUACCCGCGUAGUCCCUGUCUCUUAUAC
rnacentral:rRNA from 1 species